GACGGAGGGUGCGAGCGUUGUCCGGAAUCAUUGGGCGUAAAGGGCGCGUAGGUGGCCUGUUAAGCGUGCGGUGAAAGCUCGGGGCUCAACCCCGAGUCGGCCGUGCGAACUGGGAGGCUCGAGCACUGUAGAGGCAGGCGGAAUUCCGGGUGUAGCGGUGGAAUGCGUAGAGAUCCGGAAGAACACCGGUGGCGAAGGCGGCCUGCUGGGCAGUUGCUGACACUGAGGCGCGACAGCGUGGGGAGCAAACAGG
rnacentral:rRNA from 1 species